GAUGAACGCUGGCGGCGUGCCUAAUACAUGCAAGUCGAGCGAACAGAUGAGGAGCUUGCUCCUCUGACGUUAGCGGCGGACGGGUGAGUAACACGUGGAUAACCUACCUAUAAGACUGGGAUAACUUCGGGAAACCGGAGCUAAUACCGGAUAAUAUAUUGAACCGCAUGGUUCAAUAGUGAAAGACGGUUUUGCUGUCACUUAUAGAUGGAUCCGCGCCGCAUUAGCUAGUUGGUAAGGUAACGGCUUACCAAGGCAACGAUGCGUAGCCGACCUGAGAGGGGGAUGGGCCAACCGGGAACUGAGACCCGGCCCAGAACCCCAGGGGGGGCAGCGGGGGGGAAUCUUCCGAAAGGGGGGAAAGCCUGGAGGGGCAACGCCGGGGGAGUGAUGAAGGUCUUCGGUUGGUAAAACUCUUUUAUUAGGGAAAAAAAAAUGGGAAAGUAACUAUGCCGGUUUGGACGGUACCAAAUAAAAAAGCCGCGGCAAACUACGU
rnacentral:rRNA from 1 species